rnacentral:rRNA from 1 species
AACGAACGCUGGCGGCAGGCCUAACACAUGCAAGUCGAACGCCCCGCAAGGGUAGUGGCAGACGGGUGAGUAACGCGUGGGAAUCUACCCAGUGGUACGGAACAACCAAGGGAAACUUUGGCUAAUACCGUAUACGUCCUUCGGGAGAAAGAUUUAUCGCCAUUGGAUGAGCCCGCGUCGGAUUAGGUAGUUGGUGAGGUAAUGGCUCACCAAGCCUACGAUCCGUAGCUGGUCUGAGAGGAUGAUCAGCCACAUUGGGACUGAGAAACGGCCCAAACUCCUACGUGAGGCAGCAGUGGGGAAUAUUGAACAAUGGGCGCAAGCCUGAUCCAGCCAUGCCGCGUGAGUGAUGACGGCCCUAGGGUUGUAAAGCUCUUUCGGCGGGGAAGAUAAUGACUGUACCCGCAGAAGAAGCCCCGGCUAACUUCGUGCCAGCCGCCGCCGUAA